rnacentral:rRNA from 1 species
CAGCCGCCGCGGGAAUACGUAGGGUGCGAGCGUUAAUCGGAAUUACUGGGCGUAAAGCGUGCGCAGGCGGUUCGUUAAGACAGAUGUGAAAUCCCCGGGCUUAACCUGGGAACUGCAUUUGUGACUGACGGGCUAGAGUAUGGCAGAGGGGGGUAGAAUUCCACGUGUAGCAGUGAAAUGCGUAGAGAUGUGGAGGAAUACCGAUGGCGAAGGCAGCCCCCUGGGCCAAUACUGACGCUCAUGCACGAAAGCGUGGGGAGCAAACAGGAUUAGAGACCCCAGUAGUCCCUGUCUCUUAUAC